rnacentral:rRNA from 1 species
UACGUAGGGUGCAAGCGUUGUCCGGAAUUAUUGGGCGUAAAGAGCUCGUAGGCGGUUUGUUGCGUCGGCUGUGAAAUCCCGAGGCUCAACCUCGGGUCUGCAGUCGAUACGAGCAAACUAGAGUGUUGCAGGGGAGACUGGAAUUCCUGGUGUAGCGGUGAAAUGCGCAGAUAUCAGGAGGAACACCAGUGGCGAAGGCGAGUCCCUGGACAACACCUGACACUGAGGCACGAAAGCUAGGGGAGCAAACAGG